rnacentral:rRNA from 1 species
CCAAUAGCGUAUAUUAAAGUUGUUGCAGUUAAAAAGCUCGUAGUUGAAUUUCGGGAUCAGUACGCUGGUCGUGCCUUCGGUAUGUACUGGUGUCACUGAUUCCUCCCUUCUGACGAACCGUUAUGCCAUUUAUUUGGUGUGGCGGGGAAUCAGGACUGUUACUUUGAAAAAAUUAGAGUGUUUAAAGCAGGCUCGCGCUUGAAUACAUUAGCAUGGAAUAAUGAAAUAGGACGUUUGAUUCUAUUUUGUUGGUUUCUAGGAUCGACGUAAUGAUUAAUAGGGAUAGUUGGGGGCAUUAGUAUUCAAUUGUCAGAGGUGAAAUUCUUGGAUUUAUUGAAGACUAACUACUGCGAAAGCAUUUGCCAAGGAUGUUUUCAUUAAUCAAGAACGAAAGUUAGGGGAUCGAAGACGAUCAGAUACCGUCGUAGUCUUAACCAUAAACUAUGCCGACUAGGGAUCGGAUGAUGUUAAUUUUUUAAUGACUCAUUCGGCGCCUUACG